GACAGAGGUGCCGAGCGUUAGGCGGAAUCACUGGGCUUAAAGCGUGUGUAGGUGGAUGUCUAAGUACCUUGUGAAAUCCCACGGCUUAACCGUGGAACUGCUCGGUAUACUGGAUGUCUUGAGCCAGCUAGGGGCUACCGGAACAAAUGGUGGAGCGGUGAAAUGCGUAGAUAUCGGGAAGAACACCCGUGGCGAAGGCGGCUCUCUGGGACGGUACUGACGCUGAGACGCGAAAGCUAGGGGAGCAAACAGG
rnacentral:rRNA from 1 species